UCCGGUUUGUCACCGGCAGUCUCGCAUGAGUCCCCAACUAAAUGCUGGCAACAUGCGACGGGGGUUGCGCUCGUUGCGGGACUUAACCCAACAUCUCACGACACGAGCUGACGACAGCCAUGCAGCACCUCGACUCCACUCCCUUGCGGGAUAUCCGUGUUUCCACGAACGUUGAGAAGCCGUUCGAGCCCAGGUAAGGUUCUUCGCGUUGCGUCGAAUUGAACCACAUGCUCCACCGCUUGUGCGGGCCCCCGUCAAUUCCUUUGAGUUUCAACCUUGCGGUCGUACUCCCCAGGCGGGGUACUUCCUGCGUUAGCGCCGGCACCCAAGGGGUCGCUCCCCCAGGCGCCUAGUACCCAUCGUUUACGGCGUGGACUAC
rnacentral:misc_RNA from 1 species